rnacentral:rRNA from 1 species
AGUGAACGCUGGCGGCAGGCCUAACACAUGCAAGUCGAACGGCAGCACAGGAGAGCUUGCUCUCUGGGUGGCGAGUGGCGGACGGGUGAGGAAUAUAUCGGAAUCUACCCUUUCGUGGGGGAUAACGUAGGGAAACUUACGCUAAUACCGCCUACGAACUGAGGUUGAAAGCGGCGGACCGCAAGGCGUCGCGCGGAUGGAUGAGCCGAUAUCCGAUUAGCUAGUUGGCGGGGUAAAGGCCCACCAAGGCGACGAUCGGUAGCUGGUCUGAGAGGAUGAUCAGCCACACUGGAACUGAGACACGGUCCAGACUCCUACGGGAGGCAGCAGUGGGGAAUAUUGGACAAUGGGCGCAAGCCUGAUCCAGCCAUGCCGCGUGUGUGAAGAAGGCCUUCGGGUUGUAAAGCACUUUUGUUGGGAAAGAAAAGCGGUCGGUUAAUACUCGGUCGUUCUGACGGUACCCAAAGAAUAAGCACCGGCUAACUUCGUGCCAGCCGCCGCCGUAA